CCUACUCUUGCCAAUGCAAAAAAAAAGGGUUUUCCAUGCUGGUUUUUCUCAGCAGAGAAUUAACACAGUUUUUGUGGGGAUUUUUCAAGUUUUACUUCAGCAAAAAAAAAACUGUUAAAAUUAUAUAACUUAUUACUUGACAUUUAUUUUGUUCCACUAUGGUAGUAGCAAAGGGUAGGCUGUGCAUCAUGUUGCCCCUGAGCCCAAUACCUUUCAAUGAUCAUCAGCAACAUGUGUGAUAAUGCCAUUUCAUUCUUAGAGCAGGCAGAGAGGGUACUCUUGAUACUGAGUGUGUGUGUUGUACUUAAGCAGAGCAUAUGAUGCACCCCCCUUCCCCCUUUGCAGCAAAAGAAAACAAAAACAAAACAGUUGAGAAACCCCCCCCUCUCAAAACCCUAAAUCCAUCACUGUUAAUUUGCCAUCCAUCACUGACAACAAAGAAGAAACACUCACUCACCACCACAGUUUGUUUGCUUCCUUCCCCCAUGACAUGAUGAACAUGCAGCACAAAUUCCAUCCCUUUCACAGCCCCAAUUUCCUUGGUGGGGGGGGGGGGGAUAAAUGAUCCAGUUCGUUCAUCCUUUGCUACAUUUCCCUACCAGGCUUUGAGUUGUUGCCAUGAGUGAGUGAGAGCUCCAUGAUGAUGAGUUGGCUUUGGCACCCACUCAUCCAUCACAACAGGGCUUUGCAACCUCCCUCC
rnacentral:lncRNA from 1 species